rnacentral:rRNA from 1 species
UACGUAGGGCGCAAGCGUUGUCCGGAAUUAUUGGGCGUAAAGAGCUCGUAGGCGGCCUGUUACGUCUGCUGUGAAAUCCCGGGGCUUAACCCCGGGCGUGCAGUGGAUACGGGCAGGCUGGAGGCAGGCAGGGGAGAACGGAAUUCCCGGUGUAGCGGUGAAAUGCGCAGAUAUCGGGAGGAACACCAGUGGCGAAGGCGACUUCCUGGCCUGUUCUUGACGCUGAGGCGCGAAAGCUAGGGGAGCAAACGGG